rnacentral:rRNA from 1 species
GACGAACGCUGGCGGCGUGCUUAACACAUGCAAGUCGAACGAUGAAGCGGGUGCUUGCACUCGUGGAUUAGUGGCGAACGGGCGAGUAACACGUGAGUAACCUGUCCUUUUCUUUGGGAUAACGGCUGGAAACGGCUGCUAAUACUGGAUAUUCAGGCUGCAUCGCAUGGUGUGGUUUGGAAAGGUUUUUUCUGGGAUUGGGUGGGCUCGCGGCCUAUCAGCUUGUUGGUGGGGUGAUGGCUUACCAAGGCUUUGACGGGUAGCCGGCCUGAGAGGGUGGUCGGUCGCACUGGGACUGAGAUACGGCCCAGACUCCUACGGGAGGCAGCAGUGGGGAAUAUUGCACAAUGGACGAAAGUUUGAUGCAGCGACGCCGCGUGGAGGGUGUAGGCCUUCGGGUUGUGAACUCCUUUUUCUCGCGAAAAAGGCACAGUUUUGGCUGUGUUGAUGGUAGUGGGGGAAGAGGCGCCGGCUAACUACGUG